rnacentral:rRNA from 1 species
GUUGCAUGGCUCGGUGUGAAAAACUCCGGUGGUAUGGGAUGGGCCCGCGUCUGAUUAGGCAGUUGGCGGGGUAACGGCCCACCAAACCGACGAUCAGUAGCCGGCCUGAGAGGGCGACCGGCCACAUUGGGACUGAGACACGGCCCAAACUCCUACGGGAGGCAGCAGUGGGGAAUAUUGCACAAUGGGGGAAACCCUGAUGCAGCGACGCCGCGUGAGCGAAGAAGUAUUUCGGUAUGUAAAGCUCUAUCAGCAGGGAAGAUAAUGACGGUACCUGACUAAGAAGCCCCGGCUAACUACGUGCCAGCAGCCGCGGUAAUACGUAGGGGGCAAGCGUUAUCCGGAUUUACUGGGUGUAAAGGGAGCGUAGACGGCAAGGCAAGUCUGAUGUGAAAACCCAGGGCUUAACCCUGGGACUGCAUUGGAAACUGUCUGGCUCGAGUGCCGGAGAGGUAAGCGGAAUUCCUAGUGUAGCGGUGAAAUGCGUAGAUAUUAGGAAGAACACCAGUGGCGAAGGCGGCUUACUGGACGGUAACUGACGUUGAGGCUCGAAAGCGUGGGGAGCAAACAGGAUUAGAUACCCUGGUAGUCCACGCCGUA